rnacentral:rRNA from 1 species
UACAGAGGUCUCAAGCGUUGUUCGGAUUCAUUGGGCGUAAAGGGUGCGUAGGCGGCGCGGUAAGUCGGGUGUGGAAAUCUCGGGGCUUAACUCCGAAACUGCAUUCGAUACUGCCGUGCUUGAGGACUGGAGAGGAGACUGGAAUUUACGGUGUAGCGGUGAAAUGCGUAGAUAUCGUAAGGAAGACCAGUGGCGAAGGCGGGUCUCUGGACAGUUCCUGACGCUGAGGCACGAAGGCCAGGGGAGCAAACGGG